UACGUAGGGUGCGAGCGUUGUCCGGAAUUAUUGGGCGUAAAGAGCUUGUAGGCGGUCUGUCGCGUCUGCUGUGAAAAAUCCGGGGGCUCAACCCCCGGACUUGCAGUGGGGUACGGGCAGACUAGAGUGUGGUAGGGGGAGACUGGAAUUCCUGGUGUAGCGGUGAAAAUGCGCAGAUAUCAGGAGGAACACCGAUGGCGAAGGCAGGUCUCUGG
rnacentral:rRNA from 1 species